rnacentral:rRNA from 1 species
UGGGGACAACCACUGGAAACGGUGGCUAAUACCGAAUAAGCCGAAAGGUGAAAGAUUAAUUGCCUGGGGAAGAGCUCGCGUCUGAUUAGCUAGUUGGUGGGGUAAGAGCCUACCAAGGCACCGAUCAGUAACUGGUCUGAGAGGACGAGCAGUCACACUGGGACUGAGACACGGCCCAGACUCCUACGGGAGGCAGCAGUGGGGAAUUUUCCGCAAUGGGCGAAAGCCUGACGGAGCAAUACCGCGUGAGGGAGGAAGGCUUUAGGGUUGUAAACCUCUUUUCUUAGGGAAGAAAAAAUGACGGUACCUAAGGAAUAAGCAUCGGCUAACUCCGUGCCAGCAGCCGCGGUAAUACACUGUGACGGUAGCUUACCAGAAAGGGACGGCUAACUACGUGCCAGCAGCCGCGGUAAUGUCUGCUGUCAAAGACCGGGGCUUAACCCUGGAAAGGCAGUGGAAACUGAAGAUCUAGAGUGCGGUAGGGGCAGAGGGAAUUCCCAGUGUAGCGGUGAAAUGCGUAGAGAUUGGGAAGAACACCGGUGGCGAAAGCGCUCUGCUGGGCCUGCACUGACACUAAGGGACGAAAGCUAGGGGAGCGAAUGGGAUUAGAUACCCCAGUAGUCCUAGCCGUAAACGAUGGAUACUAGGCGUAGCUUGUAUCGACCCAAGCUGUGCCGUAGCUAACGCGUUAAGUAUCCCGCCUGGGGAGUACGCUCGCAAGAGUGAAACUCAAAUGAAUUGACGGGG